GACGAACGCUGGCGGCGUGCCUAAUACAUGCAAGUCGAACGACGCGGCGGAUGGGUUAGUAACGCGUGGGUAACCUGACCUUAAGUCUGGGAUACCAUUUGGAAACCGAUGCUAAUACCGGAUACUAACGGAUGGUCCUGCGAUGCAUUAGCUAGUUGGUAAGGUAGAGGCUUACCGAGGCAAUGAUGCAUAGCCGAGUUGAGAGACUGAUCGGCCACAUUGGGACUGGGAAACGGCCCAAACUCCUACGUGAGGCAGCAGUAGGGAAUCUUCCACAAUGGACGAAAGUCUGAUGGAGCAACGCCGCGUGAGUGAAGAAGGUUUUCGGAUCGUAAAGCUCUGUUGUUGGUGAAGCGGUAAUCAACCAGAAAGACACGGCUAACUACGUGCCAGCAGCCGCGGUAAUAC
rnacentral:rRNA from 1 species